UGAAUGAUGAUGAAGCAAUUAUUAAUUUUCCAACACUUGGACUGAAUUUUGAUGAAUUUAAGCUUCUGAAUUCCG